rnacentral:tRNA from 1 species
UGGGGUGUUGCUCAGUGGUAGAGCAGCUGGCUCGUAAGUGGGCAACCCUGGGUUCAAGCCCCAGUGCUGCAA